rnacentral:rRNA from 1 species
AUUGAACGCUGGCGGCAUGCUUUACACAUGCAAGUCGAACGGCAGCGCGGGCUUCGGCCUGGCGGCGAGUGGCGAACGGGUGAGUAAUACAUCGGAACGUGCCCAGUAGUGGGGGAUAGCUCGGCGAAAGCCGGAUUAAUACCGCAUACGACCUGAGGGGGAAAGCGGGGGAUCUUCGGACCUCGCGCUAUUGGAGCGGCCGAUGGCAGAUUAGCUAGUUGGUGGGGUAAAGGCCUACCAAGGCGACGAUCUGUAGCUGGUCUGAGAGGACGACCAGCCGCACUGGGACUGAGACACGGCCCAGACUCCUACGGGAGGCAGCAGUGGGGAAUUUUGGACAAUGGGCGAAAGCCUGAUCCAGCAAUGCCGCGUGUGUGAUGAAGGCCUUCGGGUUGUAAAGCACUUUUGGCGGGAACGAAAAGGACUGUGCCAAUACCACGGUUCGAUGACGGUACCCGCAGAAUAAGCACCGGCUAACUACGUG